GGGGAAUAUUGCACAAUGGGCGAAAGCCUGAUGCAGCAACGCCGCGUGAAGGAAGAAGGGUUUCGGCUCGUAAACUUCUAUCAACAGGGACGAAAAAAAUGACGGUACCUGAAUAAGAAGCCCCGGCUAACUACGUGCCAGCAGCCGCGGUAAUACGUAGGGGGCAAGCGUUAUCCGGAAUUACUGGGUGUAAAGGGAGAGUAGGCGGCAUGGUAAGUUAGAUGUGAAAGCCCGAGGCUUAACCUCGGGAUUGCAUUUAAAACUAUCAAGCUAGAGUACAGGAGAGGUAAGUGGAAUUCCUAGUGUAGCGGUGAAAUGCGUAGAUAUUAGGAAGAACACCAGUGGCGAAGGCGACUUACUGGACUGAAACUGACGCUGAGGCUCGAAAGCGUGGGGAGCGAAC
rnacentral:rRNA from 1 species